UAUGGCCAUAUCCCAUUGAAAUACCAGUUCUCGUACAAUCACUGAAGUUAAGCAAUGUCGAGCCUGGUCAGUACCUAGAUGGGUGACUACUUGGGAAUACCAGGUGCUGUAAG